UUGAAAAUUGACAGAGCAAAACUGAUGAAGAAGGUCCAAAGCGUAAACUAAUGGAAUGAGCUGUGUGUACUUUUUUGCACUUAAAGAGUUAGUUCACCCAAAAAUGAAAAUUCUGUCAUUUAUUACUUACCCUCAUGUCACUCCACACCCAUAAGACCUUCAUUAAUCUUCAGAAAAACAAAUUAAGAUAUUUUAGUUGAAAUCUGAUGGCUCCGUGAGGCCUUCAUAGGGAACAAUGACACUUCCUCUCUCAAGAUCCAUUAAUGUCAAUAGGGUCUGGAUGCAGACGUGCACUUGCACUGUCAGACUUGCACUCUCUGACACCUGCACUUCCGCAAGUGACGUCACUGCUUGCACUCUCAGACUUGCACUGUCAGACACCUGCACUUCCGCAAGUGACGUCACUUGCAGUCGACACCGACACCUGCACUUCCGCAAGUGACGUCACUUGCAGUCGACACCUGCAGUCUUCGGUACCUGUGCCAUGUGCAAUCGGGCUGCGUAUAGUGGAACCUGUUGGAUUAAGACUUCCGAAGUCGUUCAAGAAUCAUUGAUAUGCAUCAAUCAAUAUUAUUAGUUUCAGAAAAUCCCCUUUUGCCACAGUGCACUUCAUGUUGCACUAUGUAUCACUGCAGUUUAUGCCCUGCCCUGAAGCCAACCACCCUGAAAAAAAUCAAGCAACACUGGGAAGUCCAUUUAAAAAAGGCAAUUGUUUUCCAAGACAAAAGAUUAUGUCGUUGCCAUUUGCCCUGCAGAACUGAGGCUCAUUACCAUUGCCCCAAAUGCAGCAACACUGUUCUCAGGAGAUAUGUUAUGGAAGCUCACCUUCAGAUAUGCUCAUCCUUAGAUGUAUCCCGCCCCUCUUUGGCUUCACAACCCUCUAAAACACCACCUGCACCGGUUUCUGUGUCCACAACGACACCUGCACCGGUUUCUGUGUCCACAACGACACCUGCUCCGGUUCCAUUUUCCACAAUGACACCUGCACCGGUUCCUCUGUCUGCAAAAACAGGUUCACAGUCAUCAAAAAACAAAAAUGUGAUUAAAUGCCCACAUUGUUCAGUCACUGUGCUAAAAAAGAACUUGGUAAUCCACAUUAACCGAAAACAUACUGACCAUUCGAAAGAUAUUACAAUGAAAUCACAUCUUUCUAGUCAAGUCAAGUCAAGUCAAAUUUAUUUAUAUAGCGCUUUUACAAUUGGUAAUUGUUUCAAAGCAGCUUUACA